GGGCCGGGGAGUUUAUUGAGGCCUAAGCAUCCGUAGCUGGCUAGGUUAGUCCCUUGUUAAAUCCACCGAAUUAAUCGUUGGAUUGCGGGGGAUACUGCCUGGCUAGGGGACGAGAGAGGCAGACGGUAUUUCCGGGGUAGGGGUGAAAUCCUAUAAUCCCGGGAAGACCACCAGUGGCGAAGGCUGUCUGCUAGAACGCGCCCGACGGUGAGGGAUGAAAGCUGGGGGAGCGAACCGGAUUAGAUACCCGGGUAGUCCCAGCUGUAAACGAUGCAGGCUAGGUGUUUGGACGGCCACGUGCCGUUCUAGUGCCGCAGGGAAGCUGUUAAGCCUGCCGCCUGGGGAGUACGAUCGCAAGAUUGAAACUUAAAGGAAUUGGCGGGGGGAGCACAA
rnacentral:rRNA from 1 species